rnacentral:lncRNA from 1 species
GUUCCUGGGUUAACGGUGCUUGUUCGUUCCGCAGACAUGGCCCAUGCAGGUGGGUUCUCCAGCUUCAGCAUUCCAGCCUUUCUCUUCCUUUGUGUCUGGUGUUGCACUCGAACACGUUUUGUUUUUAGAAAUAAACAUUUUGGAAUUCUUAGCUUGUACAGCUUACGGUGUGUAUCUGUCCGUCCUCGAGUUCUUUACAAGGGAGAAGCUGUGUCUUAGAAUUUCACUUUAACUGCUUGAUGUAGUGCUGAGAACUCUCUCUCUCUCUCUCUCUCUCUCUCUCUCUCUCGUAUAAGCCUAUUCAGGUUUCUUUCUCCCACUCACAAGCUGUCAGAUUUAGAACUGCUAAACACAGCUUGAAGAUUUAAAAUUAAAAGCAAAAAAGAGGGAAUUUUCAAAGCACCAGCUCGUGAUGCCUGUUGUAAGAGUAUUUGGGGUAAGAGGCAACAUCGACGUUGACAGAAGACGGUUUUCCCUCCCGAGACACUGGCAGCGUGAAGGGCAGAGUUCUGAAAGUCUUCGUUCCACAGCACAUUAGUUUUAAUACAAAAUAGGAAGCUGACCAUAUUCAUGUGUACUCCCAGACCUUGGAAUUGAUCUAAUGGCAUCACUCAUGACCGGUCUGGGAGUGUACAUAUAUGUAGUUAGCUUCAUGAUGACUCCAGUUAAUAACAAUGUAUUAUGAAUCUGAAAACUGCUAAAAAUAUUUUAAAUACCAUAUAUAUAAUAGUACAUUCCCACCACAGUUCAGAACGUAGUUACUUUUCUCCUUGCCUUACCCAAACGGGCUCACAGUUUCAGGAUAUAAUCUGCCAUGGUGGAGACAGAACGGUAGGGGGAGUUCUUUGUUGGCCAUGGCAUCAAAAACACCAGUAUGCUUGCUCACAUGUUCAUACAUUAGGUAUACGACCAUAUCUAGAAGAGCUAUGAGCAAUUAAUAACUAAUAAGAGAGGGAAAACCAAUCUUUUCCGGAGAUGGGUCCUCUAAUUGGUUGUCCAAUACUAUGUGAUCAGCCCUAAAAACAUAAUAUAUUAACAACCUAAAUGGAC